rnacentral:rRNA from 1 species
CCUACGGGUGACAGCAGUGAGGAAUAUUGGUCAAUGGACGAGAGUCUGAACCAGCCAAGUAGCGUGAAGGAUGACUGCCCUAUGGGUUGUAAACUUCUGUUAUAUGGGAAUAAAAUGUGCCACGUGGGGGAUGUUGUAUGUACCAUAUGAAUAAGGAUCGGCUAACUCCGUGCCAGCAGCCGCGGUAAUACGGAGGAUCCGCGCGUUCUCCGGAUUUAUUGGGUGUAAAGGGAGCGGAGGGGGAUUGUUAAGUCCGUUGUGCACGGUUGCGGCUCCACCGUAAAAUUGCAGUUGAAACUGGCAGUCUUGCGUACAGUAGCGGUGGGCGUAAUUC